rnacentral:rRNA from 1 species
AACGAACGCUGGCGGCAUGCCUAACACAUGCAAGUCGAACGAGACCUUCGGGUCUAGUGGCGCACGGGUGCGUAACGCGUGGGAACCUGCCCUUAGGUUCGGAAUAACUCCCCGAAAGGGGUGCUAAUACCGGAUAAUGUCUUCGGACCAAAGAUUUAUCGCCUUUGGAUGGGCCCGCGUUUGUUUAGCUAGUUGGUAGGGUAAAAGCCUACCAAGGCGACGAUCCAUAGCUGGUCUGAGAGGAUGAUCAGCCACACUGGGACUGAGACACGGCCCAGACUCCUACGGGAGGCAGCAGUGGGGAAUAUUGGACAAUGGGCGAAAGCCUGAUCCAGCAAUGCCGCGUGAGUGAUGAAGGCCUUAGGGUUGUAAAGCUCUUUUACCCGGGAUGAUAAUGACAGUACCGGGAGAAUAAGCUCCGGCUAACUCCGUG